UUCGAUGCAACGCGAAGAACCUUACCUGGUCUUGACAUCCCGGAGACCCUUAGGAAACUAAGGGGGUGGCUUCCAUCUGGAAGAAUCUGGAGACAGGUGCUGCAUGGCUGUCGUCAGCUCGUGUCGUGAGAUGUUGGGUUAAGUCCCGCAACGAGCGCAACCCUUGCCUUUAGUUGCCAGCAGUUCGGCUGGGCACUCUAAAGGGACUGCCGGUGUUAAACCGGAGGAAGGUGGGGAUGACGUCAAGUCCUCAUGGCCUUUAUGACCAGGGCUACACACGUACUACAAUGGCCGAUACAAAGGGCAGCGACACUGCGAGGUGAAGCCAAUCCCGUAAAAUCGGUCUCAGUCCGGAUUGGAGUCUGCAACUCGACUCCAUGAAGUUGGAAUCGCUAGUAAUCGUGGAUCAGCAUGCCACGGUGAAUACGUUCCCGGGCCUU
rnacentral:rRNA from 1 species